rnacentral:rRNA from 1 species
AUUGAACGCUGGCGGCGUGCCUAACACAUGCAAGUCGAGCGGUAACAGGUGUAGCAAUACAUGCUGACGAGCGGCGGACGGGUGAGUAACGCUUGGGAAUCUGCCUAUUAGUGGGGGACAACCCGGGGAAACUCGGGCUAAUACCGCAUACGCUCUACGGAGGAAAGCCGGGGACCGCAAGGCCUGGCGCUAAUAGAUGAGCCCAAGUCGGAUUAGCUAGUUGGUAGGGUAAUGGCCUACCAAGGCGACGAUCCGUAACUGGUCUGAGAGGACGACCAGUCACACCGGAACUGAGACACGGUCCGGACUCCUACGGGAGGGCAGCAGUGGGGAAUAUUGGACAAUGGGCGAAAGCCUGAUCCAGCGACGCCGCGUGGGUGAAGAAGGCCUGCGGGUUGUAAAGCCCUUUCAGUGGGGAAGAAAAGCCUCGACCUAACACGUCGGGGUCUUGACGUAACCCAUAGAAGAAGCACCGGCUAACUCUGUGCCAGCAGCCGCCGCCGU